ensembl:lncRNA
GGUGCCGUCAGCGGGGCUGGGAGGGCCGGAGGUGCUCCUGGCGGGCAAGGAGGGCAGCGACGUCCCCGAGCGCCCUGCUAAUAGCGCAGCGUGGGAGACGGGCUGAGAUCGUUUCACCGCGCAGGCCGUGAUUGCUUGAAGGAGGAAAAAGUAGUGGGAGUGAAGUCUUCAUAAAAAAAUGGCAAUUCAUCUUGGAAAGAACAAAGGAUCAAACACUGAAGAAUGGUGUCUUCCAUUGUGAGAGACUCUGUUUUUAAUAACAAAUCCAUUAUAAAGAGUUGGAAAGAAUCACAGAAUCACAGAAUGGCCUGGGUUGAAAAGGACCACGAUGAUCAUUGAGUUUCAACCCCCCUGCUAUGCGCAGGGUCGCCAACCAGCAGACCAGGCUGCCCAGAGCCACAUCCAGCCUGGCCUUGAAUGCCUCCAGGGAUGGGGCAUCCACAACCUCCUUGGGCAACCUGUU